UACGAAGGGGGCUAGCGUUGUUCGGAAUUACUGGGCGUAAAGCGCACGUAGGCGGAUUUGUAAGUCAGGGGUGAAAUCCCGGGGCUCAACCUCGGAACUGCCUUUGAUACUGCAAGUCUUGAGUCCGGAAGAGGUGAGUGGAAUUCCUAGUGUAGAGGUGAAAUUCGUAGAUAUUAGGAAGAACACCAGUGGCGAAGGCGGCUCACUGGUCCGGUACUGGACGCUUGAGGUGCGAAAGCGUGGGGAGCAAACAGGG
rnacentral:rRNA from 1 species